rnacentral:rRNA from 1 species
CUUCUGCUCCACACUGAGCUUUUAAUUCAACAUCGAGGUCGCAAUCAACCCCAUAGAUACGAUCUCCCUGGGACUAUUACGCUGUUAUCCCUAAAGUAACUUACUCAACUUGUCCCUAUCUAAAGGACCUAACCCCACUUUACAUGUCUAGUGCAACCUCAGAUUUUACAAAAAAACUACCCCAGUUAAACUCUCUAUUCUAUCUUAAACUCAAACCCGUGUUAAAAAUAAAGCUUUUAGGG